rnacentral:rRNA from 1 species
UUGAACGCUGGCGGCAGGCCUAACACAUGCAAGUCGAACGGUAACAGGAAACAGCUUGCUGUUUCGCUGACGAGUGGCGGACGGGUGAGUAAUGUCUGGGAAACUGCCUGAUGGAGGGGGAUAACUACUGGAAACGGUAGCUAAUACCGCAUAACGUCGCAAGACCAAAGAGGGGGACCUUCGGGCCUCUUGCCAUCGGAUGUGCCCAGAUGGGAUUAGCUUGUUGGUGGGGUAACGGCUCACCAAGGCGACGAUCCCUAGCUGGUCUGAGAGGAUGACCAGCCACACUGGAACUGAGACACGGUCCAGACUCCUACGGGAGGCAGCAGUGGGGAAUAUUGCACAAUGGGCGCAAGCCUGAUGCAGCCAUGCCGCGUGUAUGAAGAAGGCCUUCGGGUUGUAAAGUACUUUCAGCGGGGAGGAAGGGAGUAAAGUUAAUACCUUUGCUCAUUGACGUUACCCGCAGAAGAAGCACCGGCUAACUCCGUG